ACGGGAGGCAGCAGUGGGGAAUAUUGGGCAAUGGGCGAAAGCCUGACCCAGCGACGCCGCGUGAGGGAAGAAGGUUUUCGGAUUGUAAACCUCUGUCCUAAGGGAAGAAGGAAGUGACGGUACCUUAGGAGGAAGCCCCGGCUAACUACGUGCCAGCAGCCGCGGUAAUACGUAGGGGGCGAGCGUUGUCCGGAAUGACUGGGCGUAAAGGGCGCGUAGGCUGCCUGAUAAGUCUGGAGUGAAAGUCCUGCUUUUAAGGUGGGAAUUGCUUUGGAUACUGUCGGGCUUGAGUGCAGGAGAGGUAAGUGGAAUUCCCAGUGUAGCGGUGAAAUGCGUAGAGAUUGGGAGGAACACCAGUGGCGAAGGCGACUUACUGGACUGUAACUGACGCUGAGGCGCGAAAGUGUGGGGAGCAAACAGGAUUAGAUACCCUGGUA
rnacentral:rRNA from 1 species